rnacentral:rRNA from 1 species
UAACAAGGAUUCCCCUAGUAACUGCGAGUGAAGCGGGAAAAGCUCAAAUUUAAAAUCUGGCGGUCUUUGGCUGUCCGAAUUGUAUUCUAAAGAAGCGUUUUCUGUGCUGGACCGUGUAUAAGUCUCUUGGAACAGAGUAUCAUAGAGGGUGAGAAUCCCGUCUUUGACAUGGACUACCAGUGCUAUGUGAUGCGCUCUCAAAGAGUCGAGUUGUUUGGGAAUGCAGCUCAAAAUGGGUGGUAAAUUCCAUCUAAAGCUAAAUAUUGGCGAGAGACCGAUAGCGAACAAGUACCGUGAGGGAAAGAUGAAAAGCACUUUGGAAAGAGAGUUAAACAGUACGUGAAAUUGCUGAAAGGGAAACGCUUGAAGUCAGUCGCGUUAGUCAGAACUCAGCCUUGCUUUUGCUUGGUGCACUUUCUGAUUGACGGGCCAGCAUCAGUUUUGAUUGUGGGAAAAAAGUUAGAGGAAUGUGGCAUCUUCGGGUGUGUUAUAGCCUUUGAUUGUAUACCAUGGUUGGGACUGAGGAUCUCAGCACGCGUAAGCUGUGCUAAGGAUGCUGGCAUAAUGGCUUUAAACGAC